GGGCCUGCACAAGCGGUGGAGUAUGUGGCUUAAUUCGAUGCAACGCGAAGAACCUUACCUGGCCUUGACAUGCAUCUCUAAGUGUGUGAAAGCACAUGACCCCUCGGGGAAUUUGCACAGGUGCUGCAUGGCUGUCGUCAGCUCGUGUCGUGAGAUGUUGGUUAAGUCCCGCAACGAGCGCAACCCUUAUGUUUUGUUGCCACUUUCGCUUCGGCGGAAAGCACUCUAAACAGACUGCCUCGUCUCAACGAGGAGGAAGGUGGGGAUGACGUCAAGUCAGUAUGGCCCUUACGGCCAGGGCUGCACACGUACUACAAUGCCCAGUACAAUGGGAAGCAAUACCGCGAGGUGGGAGCA
rnacentral:rRNA from 1 species